CAUUAAUGAGUUUUGAUUGGGAGUUGAUGCUGGCAGUCAUUUCUUUUGGCUGCAUGUGCUUGCCCCUAAUAAUCUUUAUCCAAACACCUGUGCAUGAUUUCGAGGGUUUCCAAGUUGACUUUGUUGUCUUCCCGGAUUCCCUUGUUUUUCCCACUUUUAUACACUGCUUGCAAUGUCGAAUGUGCUAUGUGCCGUAAGGCCUUUAACGCAAUAUACAACUUUUAACAACGGAUCUCUUGGCUCUCGCAUCGAUGAAGAACGCAGCGAAAUGCGAUAAGUAAUGUGAAUUGCAGAAUUCAGUGAAUCAUCGAAUCUUUGAACGCACCUUGCGCUCCCUGGUAUUCCGGGGAGCACGCCUGCUCGAGUGUCGUGAAAUUUCUCAAGCUUAAGAUGUUUUUCUUAGUCUUGGUGUUGGGCUCUGCCGUGUCUCUUAUUGGGAUGGCUGGCCUUAAAAGCAUUAGCUGGCCUUUAUGUGGGGCAAUUGGUUCUACUCGGCGUGAUUAAUGAUUUUGACCGCUGAGGACAUCUUUAUGGAUGGCCAGUUCUCACUUAGGUUGCUUCUAAUCUUGGUUGUACGGAUUGUUGGUCCGUGUGCCCCAUUUUUCAGCUUUGACCUCGAAUCAGGUGGGACUACCCGCUGAACUUAAGCAUAUCAAUAAGCGGAGGAAAAGAAACUAACAAGGAUUCCCCUAGUAACGGCGAGUGAAGCGGGAAAAGCUCAAAUUUAAAAUCUGGCAAUCUUUGGU
rnacentral:rRNA from 1 species